CAGUCGCCGCGGGAAUACGGAGGGUGCAAGCGUUACUCGGAAUCACUGGGCGUAAAGGACGCGUAGGCGGAUUAUCAAGUCUCUUGUGAAAUCUAACGGCUUAACCGUUAAACUGCUUGGGAAACUGAUAAUCUAGAGUAAGGGAGAGGCAGAUGGAAUUCUUGGUGUAGGGGUAAAAUCCGUAGAUAUCAAGAAGAAUACCUAUUGCGAAGGCGAUCUGCUGGAACUUAACUGACGCUAAUGCGUGAAAGCGUGGGGAGCAAACAGGAUUAGAUACCCCCGUAGUCCCUGUCUCUUAUAC
rnacentral:rRNA from 1 species